AUUGAACGCUGGCGGCAGGCCUAACACAUGCAAGUCGAGCGGAUGAAGGGAGCUUGCUCCUGGAUUCAGCGGCGGACGGGUGAGUAAUGCCUAGGAAUCUGCCUGGUAGUGGGGGAUAACGUCCGGAAACGGGCGCUAAUACCGCAUACGUCCUGAGGGAGAAAGUGGGGGAUCUUCGGACCUCACGCUAUCAGAUGAGCCUAGGUCGGAUUAGCUAGUUGGUGGGGUAAAGGCCUACCAAGGCGACGAUCCGUAACUGGUCUGAGAGGAUGAUCAGUCACACUUGAACUGGGACACGGUCCAGGCUCCUACGGGAGGCAGCAGUGGGGAAUAUUGGACAAUGGGCGAAAGCCUGAUCCAGCCAUGCCGCGUGUGUGAAGAAGGUCUUCGGAUUGUAAAGCACUUUAAGUUGGGAGGAAGGGCAGUAAGUUAAUACCUUGCUGUUUUGACGUUACCAACAGAAUAAGCACCGGCUAACUUCGUG
rnacentral:rRNA from 1 species